CAGAAGCCUCAACCCAGAACACUCUUUAGUUCAGGGACACAAAUAUCAGAACUGUAUGAGGUAUCAUAAUCACCCUCACAGAGGACAGAAAAGGGGAAAGGCACUAUGAGACUCAGAACAGAUAAAAACCAUUGACAGAUGCAGCAACAAAAAUUAAGAAAAUGCUAUGAUUCUCAAAACCUUAAAGGGUAAAAACAAGGAAUCCACCUGGACAUGAAGAGCUACCUUACCUAAACAGGAUCAUGAGGACAAUACCCAUGUGUUACUGGACAUUCAGCCACACACCAGAGAUGUUCCGAGACGUUAGCAAAAACUAUUGUAAAAGGCUCUCCAUUUCUCUUGAAGAUGUUUCCUUAUGCAAACUUGCAAACACCCACUGAGACUUACUCUGACCCUUUUUGCCAGGAAGUAAAAGACAGUGUUUUGAUCAUGAAUAGCAGAGGUUAAAGACAUGCAAUUCAGAUUUGAAUGUCUGAAGUCUGCCUUAGUUGAAACCUGUCCUAUCCCUCCUCCAGAUGCUGAGCCUUUGCUUAUGCUGCUUGCUAAAAGCGCCUGUGAUGCUGCAAAGCCAAAGACAAGUCUCCCAGAUGGAUGAGAUUAAUGCUAACUAAGGGAACAUUUUUCAGUUGGUUUUUUUUGUGGUUUGGGUCUUUUUGGUUUGCUUUGGAGUUUUUUGUUUUUUCUGAUGUAGCUUCUACCUUGUUAAAUUUAUUUUACUUUGAAGAGAAUAUAACAUUUUUGUCAUAUUCAUGGACCAUUAAAAUAUUAUGAUACUACAUCAAAUACAGUGCCAGAUAAAAAUUGACUCUAACUGUGACACUUUUUCUCAUCAUAUGACUGACUUGAAGUCCAGUUCUUGAAAGUUUUCAGCAACCAUGCUUGCAUGAUGGAAAAAACACAUCCAGCCUCAAUCUACCUGUUUUCAGCCUGCCCAGGCAAGAGUCCACUCUUAUCCAGAACACAGGUAUUAGCACAGAGCAGUCUAAGCCAUAUGCCUCAUCUUUUAGCUCAGACCCAGUGACUCAUGAAAGCAUCUGUAGGUCAUACGAAAUUCAGUGGAUAGAUUCAAGUUUUCUUCCUUUAAAACAUUAAAAUGUUUGGGCCUUAUUUAACUGUUCUGCUCUCUGUAAUUUUUGUGGCUUCUCUCAUUUCUUCAAGGUGUUUUUUCAGUCUUUUUACUUACUGAGGUUCUUUUUGCCAUUGACAGGAUCUGGCGAGAGACAACAGAAUAGCAAGAACUGGUACUGAGUUACAUUGCUAAGUGUCUUCACUGAGUAGAAAAUGGGUGUCAAAUGUUAGCACAAACAGUUAUUGAGGUCAAUACUAAAUUUCAUGAGUCAUAUUUUUACUCAUCUAACUUUUUUUUAAAGCACUAAAAAUGGUGUUGAAGAAGGCUGGUUUUGUGGGAACACCAUAAUAUGAGUCAAAUCUCAGCAGCAGCCUUUAAUAAUACUGAU